GGGUCUGUAGUCUAGCUUGGUAGGAUCGGGCCUUCCUUAGGCUCAGACGGGAGUUCAAAUCUCCCCGGACCCA
rnacentral:tRNA from 1 species